rnacentral:rRNA from 1 species
AUUGAACGCUGGCGGCAUGCCUUACACAUGCAAGUCGAACGGUAACAGGUCUUCGGAUGCUGACGAGUGGCGAACGGGUGAGUAAUACAUCGGAACGUGCCUAGUAGUGGGGGAUAACUACUCGAAAGAGUGGCUAAUACCGCAUGAGAUCUACGGAUGAAAGCAGGGGAUCGCAAGACCUUGUGCUACCAGAGCGGCCGAUGGCAGAUUAGGCAGUUGGUGGGAUAAAAGCUUACCAAGCCGACGAUCUGUAGCGGGUCUGAGAGGACGAUCAGCCACACUGGGACUGAGACACGGCCCAGACUCCUACGGGAGGCAGCAGUGGGGAAUUUUGGACAAUGGGCGCAAGCCUGAUCCAGCAAUGCCGCGUGCAGGAUGAAGGCCUUCGGGUUGUAAACUGCUUUUGUACGGAACGAAAAGCCCUGGGUUAAUACCCUGGGGUGAUGACGGUACCGUAAGAAUAAGCACCGGCUAACUACGUGCCAGCAGCCGCCGCAGUAA